GGAGUCUGGACCGUGUCUCAGUUCCAAUGUGGCCGAUCACCCUCUCAGGUCGGCUACCGAUCGUCGCUUUGGUGGGCCGUUACCUCACCAACUGGCUAAUCGGACGCGAGCCCAUCUUCAACCGGAUUGCUCCUUUGACCCCUGUGCCAUGUGACACUGUGGUCUUACGCGGUAUUAGCACAUCUUUCGAUGCGUUAUCCCCCUGUUGAAGGCAGGUUGCUCACGCGUUACUCACCCGUCCGCCGCUCGGAUACAAUCUUCCAAUCCGAAGACCUUCCAAUCGUAUCCUCGCACGACUUGCAUGUGUUAAGCACGCCGCCAGCGUUCGUCCUCGUAGCCACGGAGUCAAACUCU
rnacentral:rRNA from 1 species